UAUAUAUUUAUGUAGGUACGUAUGUAUGUACAAAUGUUGAGGCUUCUUUAUUUGUCCAUCGUUGUAUAAUAAUGUAUACUUUUUGUUGGCUUAUAUUUAAUAACACAUAUUUGAAAAUAUUAAUACUACUAUUUUUUUUUUUCAUUGCUUUUGAAAAAGAAAAGUUUUUGCCAGUUAUUAUUGUCAAUUCUAUACACAUAAUAAAAAAGGAUAAAAUAUUUUUAAAAAAGUGUGUAAAAAACGAAAAGGCCCUAAUACAAAAUAAAAUUGAUAUAAUACAACCAAAUAAUAAAAAAAAAAUAUUAAAAAAAAAAAGAAAUGAAAAGGUACACAAAAACGCAUUCUAUAUUAUUAAAAAUUUAGAAAAAGAAAAUAAAAAAAAUGAAAGGGUGCUUUUAGCAUACAUGUUUAUAAAAUGUAAUUUAUUAAUUCAAGGUAAUGUUAAAAUUCAUAAUAAUAAAAAUAAAUUAUAUAAAUCCAAGAUAAAAGAUAAUACUUAUGAAAAUGGAAUAAACACAUUAGAUAGCAAUAUAAUGAAUCAUAUUUUAAAUAACAAAAUGCAGAACGAAUCAUGUAACGAACACGAUUCGUUUUUAGAAAUAUGUAAUGCUCAAGUUGAUUACCCAAUAGAUUGUGUAUAUUUGGAAAAAGAAGUAAGAAAACUUAUAAAUCUAUUAAAAUUCCAAAAUUAUAAUUUAACUAUAACUUUUGUAUCUUCAAAAGAAAUGAAAAUGAUAAAUAACAAACACCAUAAUAAGAAUGAACCUACUGAUGUUAUAUCCAUUUUGUCUUACAUAAAUGAUUAUAAUGAAAUGGACAAAAAAAGUGACAAAAAGUGUAAUGAUAUAACGAUUGAUAAAUCUGAAUUUAAAUCAGGAGAUAUUUAUUUAUGUCCAGAUUACAUUCAAAAGGAGUGUAUUAUUUCAAGAAUAAAAUAUGAGAAAAUUUUAACAAAUGAAAAAAAUAGUAAUGAUGAUAAAAGUAUAGAUUGCCACAAUACCAUACAAGUCGAUAUUAAUAACAGUAGUUGUAAUAGUAGUAGUAAUAACUGUGAACAAGACGAAGAAAAAAACUUAAGAGGUAUUAACAAAUUGUUUCAAAAACUUUUUAACCUAAACGAAAGAUUACCAUUUUAUGUUUUACAUGCAUUUAUACACUUAAUGAAAAAAGACCAUGUGAAUAAUCCAGAUGAAUAUAAUGAAUUUAUGAAUAUAGAAGAACAAUAUAUUUCAAAAUAUUUAAAAUGUCAUAAAUACACACAAACUUCUUUUGCACAUCAUAUAAUAGGAAUUGGAUGUGACAUAGUAAAUGUUGAUAGAAUUUAUAAUAUUCUUAUAAAAGAAGAAGAAAAAAAAAAAAAAAAUUUUUUAAAAAAAGUUUUAAAUUUAAUGGAAUUUAAUGUAUUACAUUCUGAAGAAAAAAAACAUAUCUUAACUAAGGAUAAUAUACAAGAACUUGCUAUUUAUGUAAGCAAGAAAUUUGCUGCAAAAGAAGCAAUAGUUAAAGCGAUAGGACGAGGCUUAAGUUCAUUAUCAAAAUAUGGGAUAAGUAUGAAUGAAAUAGAGAUCAGAAAUGAUAUAUAUGGUAAACCGCAAGUUUAUUUAUAUGAUAAAGCAAAAAAAGUAGCUAAUAAAAUGGGUAUAGUUCAUAUAUUUUUAUCAAUAAGUGAUGAAAAAAUUAAAUGUAACCGUUAUAGUGGUAUAGAAAACUCUCAGGUAAAACCUCGUGAUACUUUUAUGUACAUUGUUAAUGCCCAAGCACUAGCAAUUGGAUGUAAUGUAUAGUAGGGCUUAUACGAUAAAUUUGUAUAUAUAGAUAUACGAAGCAGGUGCACAAAAAAAAAAAAAAAAAAAUGACAAUAAGAAAAGGAAGGACAAAAAAAAAAAAAAAAAAUAUAUUUAAAUGUUAUAUGCAUCGAUGUAAGUGUACAUAUAUACAUUUAAACACUUGCUUAUUUACUUGUUUAUUUAUUGUUAUAUCUCAUCCGGUGACAUUACUACAUAAACUCAAAAAAAUGUGAUAUUAAAAUUUUUUAAUUAUUUCUUUCAAAUUGAAAAAUAUUUGCGUACUUUUUUUUUUUUUCUUUUUUUUUUUUUGGUGUAUAAAAAAUAAAUAAAUUAAUAAUGGAGAAAAUAGAAGUGAA
ensembl:lncRNA